UGGUCUUUCAUGAAAUGAAACUUGGUAUACAAGCUCUUGGUGACAAUGCGCACAACAUAUAGAAGCGUGACAUCAAUAGCCCCGCCUUGUGGCUGUUAGAGGAACACCACCAAGGCAAUUGAUUCUAUCCGAAUUAGACAGAUGGGGACGCCGAACAAGUUAACAGAAACGGCAGGAAAGACCGCAACAUCGCGAUGGAUUCAUCGAUGACCAAUCAGUCGCCCCGACCGCUGGUCAGCAUCACUGCUGACGUCCGGCGGUGGGUUCGUGUCCCCCCGGACCCGGCGAGUGUGUCACCUCGGGCCCCUGCGCACACACACACAGCUGAUAAGGCCUCACCUUUGAAACUCCUGCACGUCCAGCAGCUCCAGCUGCCGGGCCACCUCGUUGGGCAGGUCGUCGUUCACCUGCGUGGCGAAGUACUUCCUCACCUCUCCCACCUCCCUCUGCCAAAACUCCUGAUCCAGGGAGAACAGCUCGUCCAGGUCCACGUCGUCCCGCAGACCCUGGAGGUUCAGGGAGUCGUGGCAGGGCAGGUGGCCCACGGCGGAGGGCAUGGCGCCGGCCUCGCCGUUCA